rnacentral:tRNA from 1 species
AGGAAAUUAGCUUAACGGAAGAGCGUCUUACUUACAAUAAGAUAGUGAAAGUUCAAUUCUUUCAUUUCCUA